GCUAAGGUGUCACAUUUCUGAAAAAUGAAUCAUCAAUGAGUCAUGCUAUUUGUUAGGGAGAGCUCUCCCAUAUAUAAAGUACAACAACACAAGGACAAGGACUCCCACAACUGAUGAAUGUUCUGUGUCACUCACACAAAACGGAUUAAUCAAAAAAUACUUUUUCAAACAGUGGACUUUUAUCUAUAGCUGCCCUUGAAGGGAUUCAAAAGCACACAAGAUGGGUGUUAGACCCAUCUUAUCAGUUUUGCUGAUAUUUUUGGGGGCCAUCAAGCUUGCUACAUCAGCAACAACUACUGCAGCUACGAGGACAAAUACAACUGAAAUCCUAGUGGCUUUCACAGUAACCUUAAAUGAACCUUUUGACGGAGAACUCAACAAUCGCAGCAGCAAAGAAUAUAUUGA